rnacentral:rRNA from 1 species
CACGGAGGGUGCGAGCGUUGUCCGGAUUCACUGGGUUUAAAGGGUGCGUAGGUGGGAAUGUAAGUCAGUGGUGAAAUCUCUGAGCUUAACUCAGAAACUGCCAUCGAUACUAUGUUUCUUGAAUUUUCUGGAGGUCAGCGGAAUAUGUCAUGUAGCGGUGAAAUGCUUAGAUAUGACAUAGAACACCAAUUGCGAAGGCAGCUGGCUACAGGGAUAUUGACACUGAGGCACGAAAGCGUGGGGAUCAAACAGG